UAUAAAGUAAGCUAAAUAAAGCUAGUGGACUCAUAAUCCAAAUAUGAUUAUAUCCUUUAUAA
rnacentral:tRNA from 1 species